rnacentral:rRNA from 1 species
GCUUAUGGCCAAACCAGCCUGGCUAUGCCGUUCUCGUGUGGUCUCGGAAGCUAAGCAGGUUUGGGCCUGGUUAGUACUUGGAUGCGAGACUGCCUGGGAAUACCAGGUGCUGUAAGCU